rnacentral:lncRNA from 1 species
CUUCUCUGAAUCGGGUUCGAUAAGAUCCUUAAUUGCUAUCUAAUACAUAAGUUUAAGAAGCACGCACUUGUUUUUAUAAAGAGUAGCUUAAUUGGUUUCUAUGACACAAAUUUGUCUGUUCCUACUUUUGUCUUCUAUAGCCAGAGAAAUUUCAGCAAAUUGUUACAGACAUUCCACGAGGAAGCUAACUAUAUGCGAAUGAAUUCACUACCCAGGAAAUUAUCAGUCAGAGACUAAGCAUAUGAAUGUCCGUCUUCCUAAAUAGGGCACUUAGUAGGUAAAAGAAGGAAACAAGUGGGUUUUUCUUCUUGUUUUAAACCACCUGUAAGUUGUCUUUUUUGGACUCCUUUGACUUAAAAAUAAGGAGUACUGAGGUAGGAUUAAAGAACAUAUAGUUGUCCACUUCCCAUACAUGUUAGCAUUCCAAAUCAAUAAUUCUUACUGGCAUUGUAAAUAUGCCUGAAAAAUAUCAAAGUUCUUGAAGAAAUAAUAGAAAAAAAUAAAAAGAUUGAUGGAGACAUAUUGCGACUUGAACUGUUCCAAAGUACUGGUUUUGUGAAGCUUUUUUCUGCAUGGAGAUCUCAGCAACUGAAAUUCCUUGUAUCUAAUAGAGAUGAUAAGUUUCAAAUCCUAGAAUUGUGCUUAUCUUGAUUGAACUUAGGUUUCAUUCAUUUGAUUCCAUUUCUUUAAAAUGUUCGUGCGAUCAUCUGAUUAUCAACUUAAACAUUUGAUGAUAGAGUUUAAUUCUAUAAAGUCUUUUAAGUUAAACUUUUUGGUUCAGGCUCUUGUCCUUCAGUUGGAAUGCCAGAAUUGAUCACAUAUCUCCUCAGAUUGAUUGUCUUUGGACCUUGAUAAUAGUCUAAAACAGGAUUUAAUUGUUGAAGGGAUGAUCCAAGACCAGAUAAAAUCUCUCUUGUCAGCAUAGUUAGAUGCCAAUGUAAUGGUGUAUAGACAUAGUUUAAAUUUAAGUGAAUCUCCUGUUAUUCAAGUGCUAAAGAGUAAAGACUAAAGGUUAACUAAAGGAACAACAAACUUGUGCUUCAUUGAGGAUAAAACCUCAUAGUAACACAACCAAAGGAUCAGAAAAGCAUCAGCAAACAUAUAUUAGAAAAUGCUAGCUACAUUUCUAUAUGUACAUUCAUAUAAAAUAUUAAGGGGGCCCUACAUUUGCUUGAGGCAAAGCUUCACUUCCAUUUCUUUUGUUAGACCUUGAUAAGAGAUGACCUUGCCUAUAAAGAUUGUCAUGUAGCUCACGUGGAUCUACACAUCGGCAUAAAUCGAAAUGUAUUAGUGCCAGUGAGAUAUCAGCACAUGUCCUGCCAAUUUAUGCCACAGGUGUUAACAUACGGGUUGGCCAAUUAUUGGUUGAUGCGUAGCAUAGGGGUGAAUUGACCAGCAUGACAUGAAGCGACACUGUGCUAGAAAGAUAUUGACAUGCUCUCAUGCCACCAUACUGCAAUAUUUGCUUAUUUUAGACAUCUGUGUUUAGUUCUAUUUUUGUCUAGAUUCUAAAUCUUCUAGAUCUGUAUAGAUUCUUGUAUAUUGUCUGUGAUAAUUGCUUCAUACCUUUUCUUCUCUUUUGGCUAUUUUAGCAUGUUGUGGAAAUGUAAUCUCCAUCAUUAUAAUCUUUAGCGCUCCAAACAUUCAUGAUGUUGUAAUGUGGCAAUUUAUUAUUCCGCAAAAAGCAACCUAAAAAAACAUACACAAAAGUAAAAUAAAAUAACAUGGUUAUUGUUAAACAUUAAAAUGAAGUUUAGUCCAAUUAGAACUUAAGUUUACUUGGAAGGUGCUGGGAUUUCCUCCAUUUAACAAUAGAUCAGCAAACUCUAAUUUAAACAGUAUGGAUUCAUUUGGAUGCAAUGCUUGAUAUCUUAUGUUAGGGUUUGCAUAGCAUGAGUCAGAGAAUUUUCUAUUUUUCCAGUUGGUGGAUUGCUCAUCAAUUUGCCAUGGAACUGUGCAGGAGCUCGGUUUUGCUGAGGAGCAGAUCCGAUUGUCUGAUGCAUUGUUUGAGAUAAGUCAAGGCCAGUGGGAGGGUUGUCUUCGGUCAGAAGUUUACUCCCCUGAAAUGGUUAAUUUGAUUGACAGAACACAGCCUGAUUUUUGUGCUCCUUCAGGAGAAUCACUCAGGCAGGUGGUAUUUCGGAUGGUUGAAUUUCUCAACAGGACAGUCCUAAGAUUGCCUGAAAAGCUGGCAGUGACAGAUACAUCAAUCCAUCAAAAUGAGUCAAAGGCACUCUCACGUAACAGCUCAUCCAAUUCAGUUCAGGACCGAGACGGGCCACACUGGGAUCUGCUGUACAGGCUCAAUCGACCAUCUCUUCAGAGGAAGAAAUCUGGUAAGAGCAGACUUCAGUUUGUCACCACUGGAGACAAUGAGACCGACGAGGAGUUCUCCCCCAGAGAAGUCACUCCAGGAAACCUCCUUCCUGAUGGUAGUAGAAACCCUAUUUUUUCCAUCGGGAUCUUCACUCACGCAAUUCCGAUUAAAUGCCUUCUCACUGGCCUGCUGGAUUGCAGUCCUGCAAUGUCUCAUAAAAUAUCCAUCGAUGAUUCUUCCAUGACAGCCCUGCAUCAUUCGCUAAGAACCGGAUGGCAGAUAAAGAGGCUCAAUGAUACAGCACAUCUCAGGCUUCUUUAAACUAUGAUAAAGGAUGAUAUACCAGGACAUUUAUCUGCCUUUCUGGCUGUAUUCUUGCUAAGUUAUGCUUUGUGUUGCGAAUGAAGAUGUUUCACGACUUUUGGUCAUGCGAGAUGACCUCACUGAUGUUUAGUGCUGGAAAUUGUUCCAAAUUGAGAUGAAAGCCGGAGAUCAUUAAGAUUCGAAAGCAAAACUGUGCUGCACAGGAAGUAAGCUUGUUUGUAUUUACUUUGUCCAUCACCUGCUAUAAGUGCCCAGGAUUGGAGGACAGAAUGUCCUGGGAUUAUCUGUCAUCGUCCCAUUUUUGCAUUGUAACUUAUGAAUCCUUUGUUUAGUCAAUCAAUUUGAGGUGCAAUUUGCCGGUUGUUUGUACAUUUUGACUGUGAUACUGAAAUCUCUGAAUGUGGUCCAUGAAUAUGAUUACCUGAGGUCCAUACAUAACUAUAUAUUUAUCAUGAUGAUUUAAAUUAGACCAGUUCUUGUGGCAGAUGAGCAAAAAAUAAAAAGAACAAAUGCAAACUGGAUUCCUACUUCAUUGUGUCAUACCAAUGAGAUGAUGAGAGAUAAGCUUCACAAGACGGACACAAUUAGCACCAUCAGCUUAUGGUAGUUAAUGUAAGCUUCUUAGAGGGAUGCUGGAGGAAGUGACUGACAUAUAUGAAAAAAGUUCAAAAAGUAUUAUGAAUUGUAAAGGCACAACAAAUAUAUAAUAUCAAGACUUCAAUACAUAUUUAGUCAAAGCGAUAGAACAUGAUGACACAAUUCAUGAAGUCAUGGCGUGUCUCCAAGUCUACCACGGAGAAAACUACGCGUUGAAUCGGACAAAACAAGUUGAAUAACAAAUCAAAGGUUGGCUUUUUCCCCCCACCUGACUCCAUUCCAAACAAUCCAAAGUCUCCAUUUGCCAACUCAACCAAGCGGACAAUCGAACGUGCCAUUUGGAAUGCGACGGCGGCCAGUCGACGGUCGACCCUCCGAAGCCAUCCAUCACCUUCAAACAUUUAUCUAAAACUGUAAAUUAAAAAGUCUACUUCAAUGUCGUUGCAAUUAAUCUUUAUCAGUUGACCCGUUCGUAUAAUAAUAUUAUAAUUUUUAAUAACAUUUCCUGUACUAUGUAAUAAAUAUUACAUAUGUUUCUACAAAUUAAUAAUAUUUAUAUUUAUCAUUUUCAUCAUUUUGUUAGAACCCUUGCAGAUUCUAAACUUGGGGUUGAUCUCUUUAGGGGAUCGACCUCCUUGGAACUCUAUAGGGGUUCCUCCCUCCAAGUUGCUGCUCAAAGGCUACAGAAAAGAUUCAUCUAUUGCUUGAGAAAAGAGGAGGAAUACAUGGCUAUUUAUAGGGCUUCUAAACCCUAACUCCUAAUAGGACUCCUACUUAAGACUCUUACUUCUAACUAACUCCUAAUAGGACUCCUACUCAAGACUCCUAUUCCCUUACAACUCCUAAUUCUUCUCUAAGAAAAAACCUCCUACAUGAAUGUCCCUCUCAAUUAGGAUUCUCCUAACUAGAGUGUCCCUCUCAAUUAGGACUCUCCUANNNNNNNNNNNNNNNNNNNNUUCUCCUAACUAGAGUGUCCCUCUCAAUUAGGACUCUCCUAGCUAGAGUCCUAACAGAAUGUCCCUCUCAAUUAGGACUCUCAUAGCUAAAGUCCUAACAGUUUUACAUGAAUGUCCCUCUCAAUUAGGACUCUCCUAGCUAGAGUCCUAACAGAAUGUCCCUCUCAAUUAGGACUCUCCUAGCUAGAGUCCUAACACAUUUACCCUUAAAAAAAAAAAAUUAUAUUUGACUCUCCUACAUUUAAACUUUUUUUAAAUGUAUGAAAAGGUGCAUUAAUUAUUUUAAUUUUAAUUUUUAAUAUAUAUUGGAUGAAUUUUCGACAAAAGUUCAGUUAUAGUGUUUUUAAAAUAUGUUGCAAUAUUUUCAAUAAUACUAAAAAAACUUUAACAUAGUAAAAAAAAUAUUAUAAUAAUAUAUCUCACAAAUUUUCUUUCGUUGUCUUCAAAUCUCUCUCGUCAUGAAUAGUGUGAUGUUCUUCACUUUCAUCGAGCCCGCGCUGUCUUGUACUUGUUUGACCAGAAAAAGCCGACACGAGGAGAAUAUUUUAGAGAGGUAUGAUGAGAGUGGUUGACGAACUCACCCAACGUUGAUUGAAGGAGCUGCUUCUCUUCUCCAAUCUGCCAUUCCCAAGUCUACCAUUCCAAGUCUUCGGUUGUUUUGGACCGCCGCGAGGUAAAGACGAGUUCUGUUUUUCUUCCUUUUUUAUUUGCAUUGUGAUCACCAGUUCUUCCCUUGCCAUUUCAGCUCCGAUCUUUUCCUCUCUUCCUGUACUCUCCAUUGCCUAAAAGAGGGGAUUUUUGGGUUUGGAUUUGGGGGUUUGGGAGAAGCAAGGAGAGAGGAGGAUGAAGUCGCCGCUGAGAAUGUUUCGAGGCCUGAAGCAUCAGGGCCACGAGGCCAAGGAGGGGAAGAAGCAGCAUCGCGCCCGGACGAAUCAGGACGAACUUGUCCAGAACACCCGGGUAGAACCGGUCCUCCUGUCCUUGACUGCACUUCUCUGAUUGCUUACUUGGUUUCGUGAAAUAUACAUCGAAAAAGUUGGAUCUUUAUUUCGAUUCCACACAAAAAUAUCUAUUUUUCUCUCGUUUUGUAGUUUGUCUCCGUAAGAGGUCUCCUUGUUUUGAUGAAACAUGCUGCAACUUUUGGUGUCUACUGCGUUACAGAAUCUAAGUUGAAAAGCUUCUUUUCUUUCCCUUCGUUUCUCAGUUCAAAUCAAUUGCAUUUAUUUUCUGCUUAUGAAUUUUGUUCUGGAAUUAUGGAAUGGUUUGACCAAGAUCUUCUCAUGAGACUUAAAAUUCUUAUGCCAACUCUGUUUUACCUGUUUAGUGCCAUCAGCAUUACCUCCACUAUAUGCAAGUUUCUGUUUGUUUUAAUUGAUCUAGUUCGUGGGAGUGACUUGUUACCUCCAACCAAAGACACCAAAUAUUCUUUGUCAUCAUCUAAACCUUUUUCCAUCAGUAGAAUAUAAUAUUUGUUUAUCUUUCCUGGGAAUUAGGAUUAGGAGUUCAUUUUUUUCACUUCUAUUUUCAUCAUGAAGAAGGCAAGGAGACAAUUGCAAGUUGCAACAAUGAAAACUUACGUCCCUUGGCUUUAUUCUAACAGGUAGAAGACUUAAGAAGCUUUACUGGGCAGUUUCACAUGGAUGCUUGUGUCCAAGCUCACUGGACAUGUUGGAUAUGCAUCCAUGUAUACACAACUCAGACACUUGUCUGAUUUUUUAUGAUACUAUUCUGUUGUCAAACAACAACAAUAAGACUAGUGGGUUCUUUAAUGAUUCUAUAGCUUCUUGUAAACUUAAUUGUAAUAGUUUCUAUUUUCAAAACACUACAACAUACACAUCAUAUUUUAAAAUUAUUAUUCUUUAUACAUGUCUUCAUAUCUCCAGUUUGUCUUCUUUCUGAACUGGAUAUUAUAUAUGAGUCCUUAUCGGACUUCAUGUGCAUCAAAUAACACUGGUGUUAAAGGGAAAGAACACAACCACAACAUGGUGACCCUUACUAUCCUGCCACUCAACUGCUCAUCAAGGCAAUAUUCCAAAUGUAUUUUUUAUCAGCAACCAAUUUGGAUCGAGAAACUAAAGGAUUGCACAUAUUUAGCUUACGAGAAAAAUAGACAAAGUGAAAGCCUAAAAUUGUUAGAAAGAAAAGGAUAUAGAUUGACUUCAUUAUCAUUAUAAGGUAAAACUUUUGUUCUCUUAGUGCAGGUUAUACAUUACUCAUUCAUGAAAUAUGUCAGUAACAAUGUCAACGGUAUUUUGCCUUUGUCCUUGUGUUAAGAAAUCUAUACUUUAAUAAAGAAUUAAAUAUCAGCCAUGGAUUUGUCAAUGUGGCAUUUAGUUACGCUACACAGUGUGAUGACUUUUUAUGACUAUUCAUUGGCAUCACACUGAUCAUGAAAAAAAGAUAUUUGAACCAUAGUAUGGGGGAAAGACUAUCCUUGACUUGAAGUCAACCGAUGGAGGCAGAGAGCAGUUAUUUUUGUUGUAUAACUUACUAAUGAUAAGAGCUCAAGUAACCAUCAUGAAUCCAAAAUAAUUCAUGAAAAGGAGUCACAAAUUAGUAGACGAGAAAGUGUAGCAACUUUUACUUUACAACUUUCAGCCUAGUCUUUGUAUUUUAUUACUGGUUCUGUCCUAUAUGGUUUAAGCAAUUGUCAAUAUUGGAAGCCUUUUCCUCCUCCUUUUUGCUGUCAAAUCAUAUUUUCUUUCAGAAAUUUUUUGGGCCCUAUAUUAAAGUGUCAACAUGUGUGCUCACAUAUGUUGGUGUAAUGAUGUUGAGUCAGGUCCACCUGGCAAAAUGACGAAACUUACUUUCGCAUUGCUGAGUCAAGUAUGAUUUAUACCCAUAUAGGGCAUAGAUCCAGGAUCCAUAUCCAAUCCAGUUAGGUUUAAUAGAUCCGAUAUCAGGAUGCUUCAGAUUUCAUUUUGGGGUAUUGAGCUACAUUAACACCUUCAGUUGGUGUCCUUCAGUAGACAUUGCAUCCGCACUUGUAGACAUGGAUAGUAAACAUACUAACAUGGGUCCCAUAUUAAUGCAUGUCAGAUCUAGGUCAUGUUGCCUGAAGGAUUAGUUUUGUUUAUUGAAUUGAGAAAUUAUUCAACAUUCCUGCUGUACUAUGGAUGAGACAGCUGGAGUGAUUUUAAAUUGAGUCUGCAAACUGUUCCACUUUCAUUAUUUUCUCUAGUUGUCACUGUGCAUAUUUCAACAGUUAUUGGUUCUCAUUGCAUAGCUCUAUCUCUCCAGUAUUUAAAAAUUUUUAUACUUACUGUAUGUGUGUCGGUGUUACAAAAUAACAGCUUCUAACAGCUCCAAAUUUUUUAGCUUGACUUUUAUGUAUAUGGGUGUUAAACUGUGCAGCUCUUCUCUCAGAAUUUCUAGGAAAUUUGAACACUUCUUCACUUGGGUGAAUUUACAAGACAUAACACAAAAAAAAGAUAAAUAUGAUGAUGAUUGUUAUUAUGGCAACUCACAAACCGAUCGAAAGAAUAAUUGAAAUAAAUGAAAAUCCUUUUUACAUAACCAUUAGAUUUGAUGACUUGGUGUCAUCUGGUGGCAGGAUUUGCAGGAUUUGAAGAGCUGCUAUGAUAGCAUACUGUCUGCAGCAGCUACAACUGCAAAUAAUGCACAUGGUACUGGUUCCUGCGCUAUUACACAUUAAAGGAAUUUAUUUAACUAGAAAGUAAAAUAUGGCUGGCUAUUCUUGUUUAUCUGCAAAUUACAUUCUAAUUGAAUUUGUACCUUGGUUAUAAAGAAAAAAAAUAUAAUAUUCAUCUUCUGAGAAGUUGCAUCAUGUUUGCCAAGUCAGAAUGUAAUUUAUCACAAAUACAAAUGAUGUUAAAUAUGUUAGAUUGUUUUCCUCUCUUAUGAGUGCAGCAUAAUUCCAAUUUUCUGAAUGCUGAGUGGUAUACAUGUUAAGAUGCUGUAAACAGAUAUUUUUUAUGAUUUGCUUUAUUUGAUGGUGUUUCUGAAUCAGAAAGAUGUAUAAUGUACUUCACAAUCUAGUUCCAUUGGUUAGUUUAUCAGGAGUUGCUUGGUUAAGCUUUAAUUAUUGUAAUUAAGGCAAUAAAGAAAAAUAUUCUGUAAAGUAUGUCUAAUCCAAACCAGAAGAAUUCUUUGAUCAAACAAAACAAUGUUAUCAAAGAAUUCAUAUAAUCAAAAGGUGUCCUGCAGCAAUAUGUUAGUGUUCUUAUAGGUAAUAAAACUUUAUUUACAACUUAUACCGGAUCCGCAUGUUGCAUCUUUGAUAGUUUUUCUAUUGAUUUUAUCUCCAUUUUGUGUGUGUAUCUAAGCUUAUCUGAUAAAUGGUAAGAAUUUUGUUAAAUAUUGUUUCCAAUGCUUAUUGUAUCUACUUGUUUACUCUUCGAUUACUUUUCUUAAUUUGCAGAUUUUUUUCAUUUAUUUUUAUCUUUUUAUUUUUUGCAAUUCUUGUAAUCCAUUUUAUAUUCAAUGAGUUUGGGGAUCUUCUUGUCACCUGCUGAAGUCCUUAUGCCCUUCAAUAUAAAAAACUAUCACUUUUCUUUCCCUUCCUUCACUUGCCAGCUCUUAAUACUAUAAUCUAGACAAAUAUAAUUAGUCUAUGCCCCUCUGGAUCUCUAUUAUUAUGAUAUACUGCAUUUAGUGGAUUGAUAUAAUUUUUUUCAAGGAUACAUUUUAAUCCUACUUUUCUUAGGGUUUAUCUGUUUAAUAUUAUUUUUUCCAGAAAAAAAAAAAAUUAAGUCAUCACAGAUCUAGUAAACGAUCUGUGUAAGUCAUUAUACAAAAGCGAGGAAAGUUCAGUAGUUAAAGAAUUCUCCCUCAAAAGAGAAAACUUAUGAAUCCUAGAAUUUCUAGCAGCCCAAUUGGCUGCUUGAUUACAUUCUUUAUAGCAAUGCAUCACAUUAAAUGUGAUUAUUUCUUGUGAAACGAUUUUGAUAUUCGCAACAAUCUGUUUAAUAUUAUGCUAGACUUAAGACCUUACACAAUAUUGCCUAGUACUUAAGAAGCCAAUUACCAUGAAGCAAUUUGGAUCUGAACCAGAUAUGGGUUAUCUGGAGCCAUGGCCAGCCAAGAUAUUCUCUUUUGACCAAUCAUUGGGGUUUUUUGGUCCUACAGAUGGAUGCACAAGGCAGGUCACCCUAUUUCCACUAGGCCUAAUUGUAGGUAACCUGAGAGCAGAUGUGGCCUCUGACAUGAUAGUUUAUGUCCUUAUGAUGGAGGUGAUGUUGACUGCAGUGAACAGAUUUAGAAAGGCUCUAGAUAGUUAAACUUAAAAGAGAAUCUAAAUCAAUUAGGAACGGCUCCAAGCUCAGUAACAGCAGGAUCAAAGCAGCUUAAAAUAAUUUGUGAAAGGCAAACAGGAGACCAAAGCUCAUUGAGAUGCACCAAAGGAGGCAAGGGAAGUUACACACCCUUCUCCUAACCAAAAUAGUAACUCUUCCAUAUAUAUAUCUCUUAUGCAAUAAAUAUAGUUUUUAGACUGGUCUAGAAUCCUUUAAUAGACAAGGAUGUGAUUUUCAAACUUAUGUUUGACUAUUGCUUUCUCUUCUUUUGCAUUAACGAUGUAGAAAGUUACUAGUAAUUAUAGUUGAUAAUUUUGUUUAGCUUCUACCUAUCCUUGAGUUGAGGUAGCAAUUGUUAGAGGAUUACUAUGGUAUCAAUAUGAUGAAUGUAACAUACUGGUAUAUUUCAAAGGCAUUCUAAAUUUGUAUAUUCUUUCAGAGUUCUCAGAAGCACUGGAGGAACUGGGCACCUGUUUUCUUGAGAAAACUGCAUUGAAUGAUGAUGAAGAUAGUGGUGAGAAAAUCCAACUUUGUACUUUUAUAUAUGCCACACGGUAUAAGUGUAUGACUAUUGAUCUCACAAGAUAAACCCUAAUUCUUCUGUGUUUUCUGUAGAUUUCUCAUAUACUUAGCCUCCUGCAACUACGUCAAGUAUACUAAUCAUAUAACUAAACCUUACUGAAUGUAUUUAAUGCAACCUGGAGUUUUCUUUAGAUAUACCUGAUUCCCCCUUCCUAAACUAUGAAGAUACCACAAGGAUUCUUUCUUUCUCGAGAAUGAACAGUAGAUACUUGUUGUGAAGAAUUGAUUUAUUUUACAAAUUGUUUUAAUCAUUAUUUGCCAUUCUUUUAGUUUUUCCAACCUCUUCAACAACUAAAUCCAUAUUAGUCAUUCAUGCAGGUCGGGCUUUAAUGAUGAUGGGAAAAGCACAAUUUAAGUUGCAAAAACUUUUUGAUGUAUAUGUGAGUCCUCUAUUCUGUGUUGUGAAUGCAGGAAGUUGUUCUUGUCACCACUUUGUCUAAGCAAAUAUGUUGGUGUCAGUAUAAGAUGAGAAAUUUUACUCUAUCUUGCAGCGGGUCCAUAUCUUACAGACAAUGGAUAAGCCAUCAAGAUCCCUUCUCAGAGAGCUUCAAGUUGUAGAGGUUUGAUCCUUUUAGUACUUCUUUCAAAUUGGAAGUUGAAUGGUCAAUUAGAGAAUUCUUGAAGUUCCCUUUAUACUGAGUUGCUCAUUUAUAUCUUAUGAUCUUUGACAAAGUCAGGGCUACUUACCAAGCAUUAUAUAUCACUUUAGGUUUUCACUCUUCUGUUGGAUUCUGUCAUUAGAAUCCUUGUCAGGCAUCCACUGAUUUGAAGAUGGCCAAUCAUGUCAUAAACAUAAAAUAAAUCUAAUGUCAUAAUUGAAUAAAGAACUUGGUGCAUUUGAUAGUUAAAAGAUAUCAUUGUUCUAAGGUAGUGCCUUCUAUAUUAUCAAGAUUAUAUUAUUUCAGAUUUUGAUGGCAUAUGCAAUUUACUAAUGACAUUACAAUGAUCAGACCAAAGAUGGGAUAAACUUUGAGAAUUUUAGAUGCAUAUUAGAAUAUAUAAAUUAUAGAAUAAGCAGAUUUAAGUUUAAAUAGCAAUCACCAGAGAGUAAAUUGAUAGCAACUGCUUAUGUCUUGCAUGUUGUUAGGAAAGUAAUGCCAUAGGGGACAUUGCUUACCAAUUUAGCACUGGAGCAUUAAAGUGGAGAAAUAUAUGAUGGUCCUUAUUAUCACUUGAUGCCCAUUAAAAGGGUUAUAGGUCUGGUGUAGUGAUGCUUUAUGAGUUGGAGUUAUGUUGGUUACUCAAACAUACAUCUGGAAAUGGAUGCACUAUAAUUGAAAAUGUUGGAAGGGAUCAAGAUGUUAAUGUGAAAGAAUGGCAAGUUGGAGGCAUUUAUCAAGUAUACUGUGAGGACUACCAAUUUGAGUGGUCCCUUCAUAUGUGAUUGAUGUGGCUUAGCUUCCAAAAUCAUAAAUUGAACAUAAAAAAGGAAUAAAAGGAUGUAACAAGUAGAUAAAACUUCUAUAUAAUUCUCUGGUAUCAAUGAUAUUUGAGACUUAAAAACUAAUAUAAUUUGUAUCUGAAGGCCUGAGGUCAUUCCAUUUUUUUUAGGUCAGAAUUUGGUCUGAACUCUGAAAUGGAUGCUGCAAUGUUGUGGAUGGAUUACAAAAUUCAGUAUUUUAUUCAUUUACGUCUAUGAUUAGAUCUUUGGUUCAGUAGAAGUUUUAUGGUUAUUUUGCUACUUCUGUUCGUCUUUAAGAUCCGUAGUACUUCAAGGCGAGGUUGCUUCUUCAUAACUUAGGUGUCAAGCGUUUGAGUUAGAGAAACAAUUGCUGCAUGCAGAAGCGAAGUUGCAUAUAUUUGACUCUUUCCAUCCUUCUAUUAGUCUCUUGAGGUUAAAAGUCUCACAAUAUGAAAAGCUCUAGAGACCAUCUAGAUAUUGAUUGUUCAUUUUGGUGCAUGUCACUUAUCUUUGUUUUUAAUUCUCUCUCUCAGGUGUCGCCAUCAUCAUCAAGCACUUUUAAAAAUUUUGUUCUAAAAUUUAAAUAGAUUUUUUGAUCUAUAAUUUUUCUCCUGCUCUAUCCCUCUUAUAUCAUCAUUUAGUACAAAUGAGGUUGAGGGCAGUGAAAAUGGAUGUACCACAUGUUGACUAGGUAGGUCAUAGAAGGCUUGGAUUCCAUUAAUUUGGUAAGUACAUAUAAUCAGUGUCUGAAAUACCACCUGAAACGAUAUGAAACAGGUGGUAUGUAUUGGUCGGCCAGCUAACCAAUAUAUCAAUCAGUCCAUUUUGGGCAGUUUGCAGGAAACAUGUAAGGUACUGACUGGUACAUCACUCUUAUCGAUCGAUACAGACGGUAAUGAUAGGAGUUUGACCAAUACUGAUCCAAAUCGUCUAAAGUUUGACCCUAACAGUCAAUUUGAUCGUUGGGAUCUCUUUUGGGGUUUGAAUCCCAUCCCUUUCUCCUCUUUCACUCUCAUUCUCAUUAAACUCUCCCAUCCUUAUAACCUAAGAUUCCUAUUCAUUUAUGCCUCAUAUAAACUUUACUGCUGUUUAAAUAUAAUAAAAUUACCAUUAAAUUAGGAUAAAAAACCUUAAAAAGGUUCUUUUUUUGUAAAUUCCUAAUUAUUUUAUUUUUUUUAAAAUUAGUACAUCUGGCAUACCAACCUAUGGUAUGCUAGUACCAAUCGGUACAUAUCAAUCUGCCCAUGGAUCAAUACCACCAGUCGGCACGAAAUGGAUCUAUGUAUAUAACCAAUGUUGUCAAAAAGACCCUCACUUAACCACUUUGAUGCAGACGCUUACAAAAGGAGAGACCGAAGUGAGAAAAAAAAACUCUUGAGGGAUUUGAUUUAGUUACUUCUACAAUCCCUCAAGCAACAUCCACAUGCAACUGUCCAUUUAUUUGCAUCGUGCAUUGUGGAGUUGAAUUGCAACUAUUGCUGGUCACUUCUAUCCUCUCCUCACAGUAGUUUUCUUCCUUGUUUUUUCCCUUCCCUCAUAUCUCCUCGUCUUUCCUCCACAAUCACUCUCCCCUCGCUCAGAGAUUGUUCUGUCGUUGUUGUUGCUCUCCCACAUUCUUCUCUUCCCUCGUUUUCCCCUCUCCUCUCUUCGUGGCCAGCAAAUUUGACCACCAUCGCCUUUUCUUGCAUCUUAGCUCUUAUCUUUCUUCCCUCCCUCUUCUUCUCUCCUCUUUGCUCUCCACGGUCAGUGCCUGCCACUAUCAACACCCUCUUCUCUCCCAUCCCUCUUCUCAAAAUUUUUGACAUUGUUGUCCAUCCCUCCCCCUUCUUUUAUCCUCUCUCCAUGGUUCUAACUGGCUCCUCCUUCCAUCUUCUUUCCUCUCUCUCUUUUAAUUUGAUCUUUAAUUAUAUUUAUGUAAGUUUUGUAAGGUGUGCUCUUUGAUUUGCAUAGGCAAAUGCCUAUGUGAGUGCCUACCUCAUUGAGCAGUACAGCCCAUGGUGCCUAAUAGCUCCUAGCUUUAUGGACAAUUGAACAAAAAAAGAAAUACUUGGAUUGCUAUAUUCAGCAUGACUCCGUUCAGAUUUGUCAAAAGAAACUUAGUUCCAUAAAUCCAUGAAAAGUUUCAUCAAUGAUUAUGCAAAAAAAUAUUUAAUAUGAAUUCAAGACUUUCUUUAUUGAUCAUACUUUAGAUAUUCCUUAUAACUGGAAGUCUCUUCUGAAUGUCUAGAACUUUAAAUUGGAUUUAGAAACUUUAAUCGACUUUUGCAAUACACUCAAAAUUGUUUCAUAUGCUUAGCGACCUAAUUAGGUUCAAACCUUAGGACAACAUGAGAGAUAUUAUGGAACUUUAGGUAACAAUAUCCUUGAAAAGUUUAAAAUUGUAAAUUCACCACUGGAAGUUCAUAUUUCAUAUACGCAGAUACUUAUAUCAGACAUAUCUUUCAAAUAUAUAUUUAAGCUUAUGUGUGCUAUAUUCUAGAUUCCUAAUUUUGAAGGAAAAUAUAUGCAUAUAUCAACCUUGCAAGAGCAAAUAAGCAAAUUAUGACCUUUUCAGGUUGCAUAUGAUCUUCCUCUCAAUGUAACAUGAACAGAAGAAAACUUUCCACGAACAAGUAAUAGUCCCUCCCUCUCAGGCAUAAAUAUUUCCUGGAUAUAGUUAAGAUGUACUGGUAUAACAUUACCUAUCCAUUAAGUUUGCAGUUGAAAUUGACAAUCCUCUGAAUUUCAAGCUUUUACUACCUUGUUGGUAAAACCGGUUUCAAUCUAUCCUUGUGAUAGCUAAUUUUUUAACAAUGCCUUUGAGUUUUGGACAGUGCUGGCCCAGUAUUUUUAUUGGAUUAUUGUAAAGAAGAAUAAAUUUCUUCAAUUUAAGUCUUCACUUUUUGAACUUCUACCUUUAUGAUAAAGUAUGUUUCACCCUUCCAUAGACUGGCAAAUGACUUGAUCAUGUUUUGUUUUUGGGGGCUAGCGCCUGUCGGCAUGGAUCAGCAUGAAUUCCAUGCACCUGUCAUGCUGGCAUAAUCAGCAUGAACUCAUCCUAUGACAUUUAAAACCUUGGUUUGUUUGGUGUUCAAUACAUAUGUACAUCAACUACAGUUUUGGUUUUCCUGUUCUUUGUUGCUAUUCCAGGGUUACUGCACUGUUUUAUUAACCACAUUCAGGCUGUUUACUGCUUAUUGAUAUUGUAAUAGAAACAUUAUCUUUUGUAAGAAAUUUAGAUGUGUUAUUUGCUUGGUAAGAUUAUUUUCGGUUGCAGGAAAUGAAACGCCUUUGUGAUGCUAAAAGGUAAGGAAGUAUCAAAAUUGUGUCCUCUGCUGUAGUGUUUUAGUUCUUAUGUUAGACUUGCCAUCUUCAGAGAGAUAUAUAGGAACUCGUUAGAGGCACAUAGAGGAAAAUGGAUGUUGAGAUAUUCCAAAUCUGGAACUUUCUCAUCAAAGGAGUUGCAAGAAGCUCAAGCCAAUUAUGAAGAGGAGGAAAACAUGUUUAUGUUUCGAUUGAAAUCAUUAAAGAAAGGUCAAUUUCAAAGUCUUCUGACACAAGCCACUCGCCACCAUGCUGCACAGGUAGUUUAACUCGUAUCAAGAACAUAUGUUCUCUUCAUAGAAUAAACUGUUAUUCUGAUGUUAAUUUUCCUCUCAUUGGAUUCAGCUAACAUUCUUCAAGAAAGGACUUAAGAUGCUUGAGAUGGUUGAAUCACAUGUUAAAGCCAUUGCUGAACAACACCAUAUUGCUUACCAGUUCAGUGAUCUUGAAGAUGAUGUAUCAGACUAUGAUGAUGAUGAUGAUGAUUAUGAUUAUGGUGGCAGUGAUGUUGGGGAGCUAAGUUUUUAUUAUAAAAAAAAUUUCCAAGGAAAAAAUGUUAUUUAUACAUCUCAAAACUCAAUAGAGGUAAAAUUCUGAAGGCUUUGUUUUGUGUUACUUAUACUAUCAUUUUAGAAGAACAUUCUCCAUUAUAGAUAUGUUAACUGGUUAUUAAAAAUGAUUUAAAGCUGAUAUAAUUAGUGUUGCGUGAAACGUGACUUCAAAAGGAAGCAUUAAUGUAUGCAUGCACUUAGCCUCCAUCAUUUACAACAAAUAAAAUGAUAUAGAAAGCUAUCAGGACACUAUGUCAACAAGUUAUAAGCAUUAACAUGUGCGUGUGCUUGGCCAAUAAAAAAAAUCAUGCAGAAAACCUGUAAUAAGCCGGUUCAAUGAUUUCAUCCAUCAUUUACAAUGGGUAAAAUGUCACAAGUUGCUCUUCUUUUAUUAUUUAGCUUUCCUUGUAGACAUCAUCAUUCCUGCUUCCUUAGAGACAUGUAUUUGCUGAAACCUUGAACUUCAAUUAAGAACUUGAUCUGUUUUGACAUGAAUUUUUGUGUACGUUCGACAUCAUUGUAUAGAUAUGUAGUCUUUAGGACUUUAGAACAAGUCAAAAGAAGACCUACUGAGGUGGACAGGUAGUGAAGUAUGUUCAGAAAGUCAGAGGUUUGAUUCAAGUAGCAUCCUUCAAUGAUACCAAUGGAAAUAAUUUAAGAUUUUUCAACAUAUAACAACAAGAAAAAGACAUGGACUAAUUUGGUUGACUACAUGGCCUUUUCCCAUCAUUGAGCUCUAUUUAGAGUGACAUCCCUGGUCAAACUAAGAGCAGCCAGAUCUUGUUUUUAUUGUUUCUUAUAAAGUUUUGCAUGCUUCCCUCUACCUCUCCUUGCAUCACUUAUCAUAAUCAACUCCAUCUUACUAUGGCAUACACAUGUUUCCUCCAAGUAUGACUAUAUCAUUUGAAGUGAUAUUUUCUCAUUUUAUUCUAAUAGAGCUAAACUAAAUUAUUUGCUAAUUAAACAUUUCUUGUUCUACCUUUCUAAUAACUGUGAAUAUCGACCUACACUUUUUCAUCUGGGCUACAGUAACUUUUUGAGCAUGUUAUUUCUUAACUGCCUUACACUGGACAUAUAAAACACAUUUUUUUUUAUAUUAUGUUAAUCUUAUGAGUACAUGAAGAUCACACAAGACUCAUGACAUACCAUGCAGACUGUUUUGGUAGUGUUCAACCAAAAAUAGUUCUUGAUAGAAUACCCGUGAAUAUUCUUGAAAAACAAUUGACACCAAAAUCAAAUUGCAAUAAUUGAUAAAAAAUAGUAUCAUUUUAUAAACUGUAAAGCUGAAGAAGUCGUCACUUUGGUAAAAUCUUUCUUGUCUAAAAAAUUUGAGCUUAAGUGGAUAAGGGCAUAUGGAUUCGCUACAACUACAAGAAAUUUCUCAUAUGUAUUCGGACAGCAGUGUUUUAAUCAAAAGAUAAAAAGUGUGACACAGAAGUAAAGCAAAUAAAUACAUCAAUUUGAUAAUGUAAUGUCUGUUUCUGGAUGUUUUCUGUUUAUGAUCUAUCUCAUUUUACUAUAACAUGGUUUAUUUUAUGCUUUAUUUCACUUGUGCAGGAGAGCAUCGACAGAAGCCAAUUAGACAUGCUCAGUUUCAGGCCUGGAUACAGCAGCCAAUCAGCACCAAUUUUUGCUGAUAAGAAGCUUGAUUUAACUGAGAAGACAGAAACACCACCCUUAUCAACCAGAAAAUUUCACUCAUAUGUGCUACCUACACCAGUUGGUGAUAGAAAUCCAGAAUCAAAUCCUGGUACUGCUCCUUGUGUGGAGAAAAAUGAUAGUUCCCCACCACUGUGGAAUUCAUCUCCAUUAGAGGCAAAAAGACCUGUAAAAGAUUUCAGGGAGAGAGAAUUAUCAAGUUCAACCACCUUCAAGAAUUCAGUACUUAGAGGGAGCAAUAUUAACAGUGGGCCCAUCAGUAUGCCAUCAUAUUUCUCAGAGAAGCUGUCAAUGCCGCAAAUUAAUCAAAAAACAGCUUAUGAUACUAAUAAUUUCAGACGACAAGCCUUCUCUGGCCCAUUGACAAGCAAACGUUUUUCAAGCAAACCCAUAGUUUCUACUCCUGAUUAUAGAUCUUCAGUGGAAUUUCCCCCUGUAGGCUCUUCCGCAUCACAACACGUGUUUAAACCUCAAUCAUCUCCACCUCAUAAGGAGACUCAUAGAACUUCACCUCCUCCUGUAUCAUAUCCAAAAAUCAGCGAGCUUCAUGAGCUUCCUAGGCCCCCAGUUGGUUCAGAGAAGUCAACAGGAGCAUCCACUUUGAUUGGUUAUUCUGGUCCCUUGGUCUCUAGAAGCAAAGUGCUUAAUGCAAGAAAUAAUAUGCCAUCAGAUGUCUCAUAUAAGACAUCACUACCAGCACCUUUUGUACAUAUCAGCCGCAGUUUCUCAAUACCAUCUAACAGUCAAAGAAUAUCAAUGCUUACAGCUGCUAGGUUGUUGAAGUCUCCUCACAAUCUAGUCACAGUAGAAGAGAUCACUUCAUCACCUCUCGCAAUCUAAUGACCAUACUUCCAGUAUCUACAACUUCAUAACUGAUUGCUGCAGUUACAGAAAAAAGUGGGAGUUGCUAAAACCACAUUUAUGUGUUCCAUUUUCUAAAGGUAACUUCUUCAAUGUGUUUCAUACUUUAAAGUGUGUAUAUAUGCAUGUAUAUUUCAUGUCUCAAUUAGGCGUUUAUGACAGUAAGUUUAGAUUGAAUAUUUCGAUGGUAAGCAAACAUGAACUUGUUAGACAUGUCAGUAUUAUUGUCUUCCUACAGAUUUUCCUUGAAGUUGUCAGAAAAAGAGUCUUGAAUAUUUCAAUGUGAGCAAACAUGAAUUUGUUACACAUAUCAUAUUAUUGUCUUCCUACAAAUUUUCCUUGAAAUUGUAGGAAAAAGAGUCAUCUGUUUCAAUGUGACACAUGAUACUCUGAUAUGUUGCCACCUUGUCUAUUAAAUGAUAGGAUCUAGUUCCACAUAGGGUUUUAGAAGGCUUGAUAAUCAUUCAUUAAAGGUUUAUUUCUUUUUUAGUGGACAAUUAAUUUCUUUUGGCUUCUUCAGGAUAUGAUUAUUUAUUGCAUUCCUGUACUUUGAGCAGUUUACAUUAUUUGUGCUGUUGGAUAUUCCAUUGGUCGAUAGAAGUUUAGUAGUUUGAAAAACAUGAUGUAAGUAAUAAAACACCAGAACACGAUUUGCAGAUAUAAUAUGUUGUAUUAUGGAGCAUGUUAAAAAACAUGGAAAACACAGUAAAGCAUGUAGAUGAAGACAUAGAAAUCAAUGAGGUUCUCAAAAGUGGAGUGAAAAUAGCACAUGGUUCUUGAUAUGAUGCCCAAAUAAAGGUAUUGAAUGCUAUUUAGUAUCUGCCCAAAAAAUAUUCUAAAUGAGGACAAAAGACAUAUGCUAUUUGCAUUGUGCAACCUAUAUGUAGCAGCAUGAGUCAGAGCUUAUGACAUGAGAUGUCAAACCAACUGAAAUUUAAACACUUGCAUUAGGUGAAAGGAAGUUAAACAGAAUUUUGUAAAAGCUUAUGUUGUACUUUGAAGAUUUUUUUUAAAUUCGUUAGGGAAAUAUGGAAUAAACAAGCUGCUUUGUCAAAUUCAUUGCAUAAGUUUCUGAUAGCAAUUAACAAAAAAUCUUAUCAUGAUAGAUUUACCAUUGAUGGAAAAAUGGUAAAAGGUUACUUGCUUCCUUUCCUGUUCUGGUAAUGAGAGUAGCAGUGGGCCGUUGACCAAAAUGGGACUAGUGACAAUUAACAUAGAUAAUAUAGGGUUGCAUGAAUAAGCUGCAUAUAGCUUAAUCACUCUGCAAUAGAUUUUGCAUUGUCAGAAAAUGAGAAUGCAAUUAUAUCAGUCUUCUUCCUAACUUCUCUAAGGGUUUCGAUGAUCUUAUACUCACAUAGUUAUAGCGGCACUUAUCAAUUGGAAAAGUUAUUGAUUAGAUUCUCCCUGAUCUUUACUUUUUUCUCUUGUCAUAUUAUAGAAAUGCGGACAGGGGCUUUAACUUGUUGAAAAUGUUGGAUAUGGGUAGUAGUUAAAAUUACAUUGCAAGUCAAAGAGCUCUUAAAAAGGCAGAUUUUUGGUUGAAAAGGAUUUUAUUUACAAGGUGGAAAGGAAUUAAAACAUCUCCAAUAGAAAUGCUGCACUUCUUGAAGCCAGAUGCUGCUUUUUUGUUAUCUUGUGUUCUAACAAAGACGAUCAAGGAUGAUUUCCUUUGUGGCUGAGGUAUCUGAGGUGGGUGUGUUAACUAGGAGGAGUAAAUUAGGCUGGUUGCAGUGUGCUAGUAUGAAGAUUACCUAUUCAGAGCAGUAAAAAAAGCAUCUUAGUUUGCUGUUUUUGUAAAACAUAAGCAAGAUGUCAUCAAGCCACAUAGAUCCAUAAUGCGACUUGGGGUUGAAGGAAAAUUCAAUUGGUUCAUUGAAUCGGUAAGAAGCCAAGAACCUCAUCAAGGGGAUUUGUCUUUAGAUCAGAUCCUUUUAUUUUCCACAAAUUAAAUUUAUUCUUUCCCCCUAUUACUCAUUAUUCUAGAUUUGAGUGCAUGUAUCCUCCAUUAAAUGUUACUAGAUGUAAGCAGGUACAUCACUUGGAAAGACAAAAAUAGAUGGUUUCUCACUAUUUUCGAAAGAAAUAGAAACCCAUGCAAUGAAAAAAAAACGGAAACUAAAUGAAACACACAUGAUGAAGAUUGAUGGAUGGUCUCGAUUUAAUGUGAGGAUGAUGCUGUCCGUGCAUAGACCUCACUUAAAGUGAGGCACAUUAUAUUACUGGAGGUCUUAGUUGUAUCCCUAGAAAAAAAUUGGUUUAUGUUUCUGGUAUGCAACUGAGAUUUUAGUUCUUCUCAUAAGCAAUCUAGUAGACCAGUCAGAUGAUGCUUUACUUCUUUGGUUUCAGAAUACCCGUGACGGAUACCUUCUUGCAGUUUUGUGUACACUGCCGGUGUAAAUUCGCAGCGCCCCGCUGAUCUUCAUUCCAUAUAUUAAAGCAGAAGUUUUGUCGAUAAAUCAUCGUCGAGCCAAUUUUUUUCUUUGAUUAUAACCAUUUAGUUGUGACAGAAUAUACUACUAUUGAUAGCUUUUAACUGUAGAUAUUGAGGUUUCCAACAGGUCAUGUUGUCAACACAAGUUGGAGACUGUUUUGAGUAAUUCUUGAUCCAGUGAUCCAUGGAAUAAAAAGUCGUCUUUCUUUUUGUGUUGUAAACUUGAUCAAAGGUAAAAGGAUGCAUGUUUAUAU